CAGAUAUUUUCCUAGUUUUCAUACCCACAAGACAUGCUUCAUUCUGGGACAGGUGAAAGUGUUGUAAAGACUGAUGCCGGGGUAUCGGCUGGAACACCACUCAGAAGUAGGAGCCUGGUGAGUGGAGGAGACUGAAGAUGGAGAGAGAGCCUGGACCUCAACAUGAGCAUCUGGAGCCAUUUGGCAGCAUUAGGCUGUGACCGCUUAGAGAACCGAAAGGUGCAGAGCUUUAAAGGAUUAUGGAGUCUGAAGACCAAAUGGGAUGAUGGAGAACAGCUAUUCAGUGGUACAAAUGUAAAUGCUCCCAGGCCCGGGCAGAAAAGAGAAAACAUUUCCAUGGAAGAGGAAACAGGAAAUUCCAACAGAUCAGCAACAGUUGGAGUGCUAACCUGUCACUGGAAUGGGAAAAAAAAUGCUGUCGUUGACACAUCUUUUCCUUGUUUUUGACACAAAUUAGAAACACCACCUGGAACACAGCUGUGACUUGAUAAACAAGUGAAACAUUCUUUGGUGUGGUGAGGGGAAAACAAAUUUCUCAAAGGACACGCACCAUGGUGUAUGAGAGGACACUGGAGCCCAGCCAGCAUCUGACAUGCUGAAUUCAAAGUGCAGAAGACAGAGAUGAAGAAAAGAAGGAAGUGGAGGCAAUGAGGAAAGGAGGGAAGAAGGAAGGAAGGAAAUCAUGCUUGAAAGAAGUUGUGGAACAUGUCAAGUUUUUUUCCGGAUGUGGCGGAGAUUAUGCAGCUACAAUGAAGCCAGAUUAAGAUUUCAGGAAAAUGGACAGAUCUCUACAAUGUUCUCCAAAGAGAUUGUUUUGCUUGCCAAUAAAAAGAGACACCUGGGAGCACCAUACUCUCUCCUGUUCCUCUGGGUAUCAUAUUUCCUUAUGACACCUGAAACUCUGAUGCCUUCUGGGUCCAUGAAAGCAGUGAGAUGAGCACAGGAAACCACGCUGAGGAUGGUUGAGCAAAAAGGUGACAUUGAGCCACUGGAUUAACCUGCCCAGAAACAGGAUAUCUUCAGAUUUCUUGUUAAGUAAGAAAAUGUAAUUUUGUUGAUUCUAAGUUACACUUUCUUUUGUUAGUUCAACAUCUCUGAAAUCAGAACAUAUUUUGCCAUGGUAAUAUCUUACCAUCACUGUAAUAUGUAAUAUCCUUACAUAGGUGUCAUUGCCUAUGCAUGUGUCAACUUGAUUGCUAUUCUCUGUGAUAUGACUGACAACUGCAGCCCUUUGACAGUUCAGUCGACAAACCAUUGAAGAUUAUUAGGGUAAGAAAUACUGCUUUCUGUCUGAAAACUUUCCAAUGACAUCUUCUGAAAAGACAAAGAAAGUAUCAGCAUCAAAAUUUGCGUAAUAGGCCGGGCGCGGUGGCUCACGCCUGUAAUCCCAGCACUUUGGGAGGCCGAGGCGGGCGGAUCACGAGGUCAGGAGAUCGAGACCAU
rnacentral:lncRNA from 1 species